rnacentral:misc_RNA from 1 species
UCAAACUUGGUCAUUUAGAGGAAGUAAAAGUCGUAACAAGGUCUCCGUAGGUGAACCUGCGGAGGGAUCAUUAUCGAACGAUCAUCCUUGAUCUUUCUUACCCUCAAACCACUGUGGAACACAAACACGUGCUUCGGCGUCGACCCGGCGCCGCAUUUAUGCUUCAACAAUGCCUUUUUUAGUCUGAACAAACCUAAGUGUCAAAACUUUCAACAAAGGAUCUCUUGGCUCUCGCAUCGAUGAAGAACGCAGC